CCUACGGGUGGCUGCAGUGGGGAAUAUUGCACAAUGGGGGAAACCCUGAUGCAGCGACGCCGCGUGGGUGACGAAGUAUUUCGGUAUGUAAAGCCCUAUCAGCAGGGAAGAAGAGGACAGUACAUGACUAAGAAGCCCCGGCUAACGACGUGCCAGCAGCCGCGGUAAUACGUAGGGGGAAAGCGUUAUCCGGAUUUCCUGGGUGUAAAGGGAGCGUAGGUGGCCUGGCAAGCCAGCAGUGACAACCCGGGGCUUCACCCCGCGGAUUGCUUUUGGAACUGUCAGGCUGGAGUGCAGGAGGGGCAGGCGGACUUCCUGGUGUAGCGGUGAUAUUCGUAGAUCUCAGGAGGAACACCGGUUGCGCAGGCGGCCUGCUGGACUGUACCUGACACUGCGUCUC
rnacentral:rRNA from 1 species